CGUUCUUAGCUAAGAGUUUCUUCUCUGAUACAUCGAUAGAGUUUCGAUGUUACCAAUCAACGUUAAUCAUGGCUCUGUAAAUCUUUGAUAUGGUGUUAUGUCUUCUCUUUGUGUAAAUUGUGUAAAUGAAACUCCCCCCUAAAUAUUUCAUCCUCUUAUUUCAUCACCCCCUAAGAGCACGAUAUGUUAUUUAAUGAUAGCAAAGAAGUUGUAGGUUCAUCUCUAUCCCUUCUGUUUUCCAUCAACAUGUCCUUCUCUGAUUCAGAGUGGGCAUGGGACGCCCGUGACAGAUGAGAUUAUAAGUUCUUUUGGUCGGAUCAGCUGCAAGCGUAAUCCCUCUCUUUUGAUCUUUUGUUGGUUGUGGUUAUGAUGUGGUUAGUCUAAUGACAUUUCAGGGUUGCUACACGAGAUGCUUGGAUCUACCAAAACAAAGAGAUUCAAAAGCUUGGAAGGUGCUUUCACAAUAUCUACGGACAGAGGAAAAUUUUGCUUUCUCAAAUGAAAGGACUUGCAAACCAUUCCCAGAGUUUAUUCAUACACCACCAAAGAAAAAAUAUGUUCUUCUUUUUCUUUUGUUAUUCGUUUUUUAUUUUUAUUUUAAGUGAUACACAAUCUCCUCAUGUUCAAACAAGUUCUAUAAGAGAGUGAUGUCAGGUUGGAAGAAGAAAAUAAAAGUAAUGAUGUUCACAAGUUUUGAUGAUCAAUCUGUGUUUCAGUUCGUAAUUACAUGAACCAUAGAUAGAACCAAUAGAUAUAAGAAGCUGUUGGAUUGGAAAUGGAUGACGAGGGAACCAAGGGAGAUAGAAUCAAUGAGGAGAGUCAGUUCAAUUGAAUAGUUGUGUCCUGAGUCCUGACAAAGCCAGGACAGGCUGCUCUCUUGACCAAAUUGUAAUACACAACAAAUUGCAGACUAUUACAUCAGAUAAUCAGAGUAAAAACAGCUCAUGUGAGAACUGAUACAGAUAGAAAUGUCUCACCAAUGCAUUUAUGGAGGCUCUCCUUCUCCACAUCUUAACCUUGGCGACUGGACAUAACUAAUGAUAUAUAUAUUUUCAAGAUUACUAUGGUUGAAGUCUUGGAGUAUUGAACAUGUUAUUCCAAGGAGGAAUAUACAGAGUGUUACGUGAGAGAAUAGGCAUCACUCCUACAUUGCUGUGGCUGGUCCAGCCUGGUUGCAGUCGAUGCUUGCUCAAGAAAGCGGAAAUUCUUGAUACAAGAGCACAGUAGUUUUAAUCAAUGUCUUUUUAUACU